AACGAACGCUGGCGGCAUGCCUAACACAUGCAAGUCGAACGAAGGCUUCGGCCUUAGUGGCGCACGGGUGCGUAACGCGUGGGAAUCUGCCCUUUGGUUCGGAAUAACAACUGGAAACGGCUGCUAAUACCGGAUGAUGACGAAAGUCCAAAGAUUUAUCGCCAGAGGAUGAGCCCGCGUUGGAUUAGGUAGUUGGUGGGGUAAAGGCCUACCAAGCCGACGAUCCAUAGCUGGUCUGAGAGGAUGAUCAGCCACACUGGGACUGAGACACGGCCCAGACUCCUACGGGAGGCAGCAGUGGGGAAUAUUGGACAAUGGGCGCAAGCCUGAUCCAGCAAUGCCGCGUGAGUGAUGAAGGCCCUAGGGUUGUAAAGCUCUUUUACCCGGGAAGAUAAUGACUGUACCGGGAGAAUAAGCCCCGGCUAACUCCGUG
rnacentral:rRNA from 1 species